UACGUAGGGGGCAAGCGUUGUCCGGAUUUAUUGGGCGUAAAGAGCGUGUAGGCGGCCAGCUAGGUCAGCUGUGAAAACUCGAGGCUCAACCUCGAGACGCCGGUUGAAACCAUUUGGCUAGAGUCCGGAAGAGGAGAGUGGAAUUCCUGGUGUAGCGGUGAAAUGCGCAGAUAUCAAGUGGAACACCAGUGGCGAAGGCGAGUCUCUGGACAUUUCCUGACGCUGAGGCACGAAAGCCAGGGGAGCAAACGGG
rnacentral:rRNA from 1 species